GUGAAUCAUCGAAUUUUUGAACGCAUAUUGCACUCUUCGGUAUUCCGGAGAGUAUGCCUAUUUGAGGGUCAUUAUAAAUAAUAUAAAUUCCAAGAUUUCUCGGAAUUUAAACUGUGAUGUCCAUUAUUUGUGAUCGCCUAAAAUUCAAGACAAGUUCAUUGUCUAGGAUUGCGUGAUACUCUUAGUUACCUCGUGACUUAACCAGGAAUCAUCCGGCGUGCUAUGUGUUUUGCAAGAGAUAAAAAAUUG
rnacentral:misc_RNA from 1 species